AGUUUUGUCUGGAUCCAGGUACCUCAACUAUUGGCCUUACAUGGGUGUUCCCUCUUUCUAGUCCCACUCUUCUCCAACAGAGCUCCCUCACUGAGCGAGCAUUCGGCAUUCCUAGUAUGCUCCACUCAUUCUAUGCCAAGCACCCAAUCACGGGAUCAGAAUCACACUCUAGAUCAUACCUUUCACGAAAGAAAAGGACAGGCAGCCGCUGCUAAACCAAGAUCUCCAUCUCUUGACUCCGCCAAUCAAUCUUAGCUUAUAGGGCACAAAGGUAUAUUUACCACGAGUACCAGCAUGAUUCCACUCGACAACUUCUAA
rnacentral:rRNA from 1 species